rnacentral:tRNA from 1 species
UCCCUUGUGACUCAGCCGGUAAAGAACCUGCCUGUAAUGCAGGAGACCUGGGUUCGAUCCCUGGGUUGGGAA